GUGCUGCAAGAAAAUAUUAAUUUUGCCAGGAAUUAUUUUAUUGAAAUGGACAUUGAUUUUUUCGAGAGUGUGAGACAGUCCCAUCAAUGCAGGACACAGCAUUGGUAGAUGAAUAUUAGCUUCUGAUGAUGAGGAGUCGAUGUCCCUUUGGUAAACUGCUGAAUACGAAUUCUCGAAAAAAAUACUAAAAAUAAAUUACAGGAAAUAAAUUGAAAUGAACUACAUUCACGUUAUUUUUUUGCGAUGAAAUCACUCAGAAGCGUAAAAUACGCUAGUGAAAUAGGAGAAAUUUAAAAGUUAUGAUGGAUUGCUGUACCAAAAAAUCAAAAACUAGAAUUGGAACGAUUACAAAGUUUCAAACGAAAGCAAACGGGGAACGAGUGAUCCACUCGUCAUAAAAAUAAACUCAGCAAAUACCUGGAAACAUACACUCGAUAGUUGCCAUUUCUCCGCAUGAAAAAUCCUAUAAAUUUGACUGUUCAGAGGGCCCCCAUUCGUUGAGCCUCACUGACAUCACACGAAUUCUAUCAAGCUCUAUUGCACAUAUUUCCUCGCAUCCGAUGGGUUUGGCAUUGAUUAAUGUAUCGCAAAGGUUCUUCCUCCGGAUUUUCAGUUUCCUACAGUUCCCAGAGAAACCGGCAUUUGUACUCUUGAAAAUAUUUUUUGGAAUAACUCCGGGUGAUCCGGGAUUUCAUAGCGAUUGCCAGGGGAAAAGUCGAGUCUGAAUGGAGGGUAAAUUCAGCGAUCGGUUACUG